UCACAAGAGUCCACCUAGACCUGCUCCACCAUGAGGACAGGGCUGGUUCUCUGGAAGAUCGAGACCAUGUUCCUAGUGGGUUUGAGGAGAAGAAAGCAGCGAUGUCAGAUAUUCCAGGAAGCAGGCAAAUCAAACCAUGCGAAUGAGCAAGAUUUCGAGAAGUUCAAGGAGCUGACUCAGAAAAUGGAUAUUCCAGAAGGAAAUAUUUUAGACUUUACCAAUAUAGAAGACUGUCCUAAAAAUUAAUGAAAGCAGAGUCAUUGAUUCUCACGGGCAG